rnacentral:rRNA from 1 species
GAUGAACGCUGGCGGCGUGCCUAAUACAUGCAAGUCGAGCGAACAGACGAGGAGCUUGCUCCUCUGACGUUAGCGGCGGACGGGUGAGUAACACGUGGAUAACCUACCUAUAAUACUGGGAUAACUUCGGGAAACCGGAGCUAAUACCGGAUAAUAUAUUGAACCGCAUGGUUCAAUAGUGAAAGACGGUUUUGCUGUCACUUAUAGAUGGAUCCGCGCCGCAUUAGCUAGUUGGUAAGGUAACGGCUUACCAAGGCAACGAUGCGUAGCCGACCUGAGAGGGUGAUCGGCCACACUGGAACUGAGACACGGUCCAGACUCCUACGGGAGGCAGCAGUAGGGAAUCUUCGGCAAUGGGCGAAAGCCUGACGGAGCAACGCCGCGUGAGUGAUGAAGGUCUUCGGAUCGUAAAACUCUGUUAUUGGGGAAGAACAAAUGUGUAAGUAACUAUGCACGUCUUGACGGUACCUAAUCAAAAAGCCACGGCUAACUACGUG